GACAGAGGUGCCGAGCGUUAGGCGGAAUCACUGGGCUUAAAGCGUGUGUAGGCGGACGCCUAAGUACCUUGUGAAAUCCCACGGCUCAACCGUGGAACGGCUGGGUAGACUGGGCGUCUUGAGCCACCUAAGGGCAGACGGAACAAGCGGUGGAGCGGUGAAAUGCGUAGAGAUCCGGAGGAACACCAGAGGCGAAGGCGGCGCGCUGGGCUGCAUCUGACGCUGAACCGCGAAAGCCAGGGUAGCGAACGGG
rnacentral:rRNA from 1 species